rnacentral:rRNA from 1 species
UACGUAGGGGGCAAGCGUUGUCCGGAAUCAUUGGGCGUAAAGCGCGCGUAGGCGGCCCUGUAAGUCCGUUGUGAAAGUCAAAAGGCUCAACCUUUGAAAGCCGAUGGAUACUGCAGGGCUAGAGUCCGGAAGAGGCGAGUGGAAUUCCUGGUGUAGCGGUGGAAUGCGCAGAUAUCAGGAGGAACACCAAUAGCGAAGGCAGCUCGCUGGGACGGUACUGACGCUAAGGGCGCGAAAGCGUGGGG